rnacentral:rRNA from 1 species
UCGACGGAGUACCUCGAAAGAGAUUUCGGUCAAUGGAGAGGACUACUUAGUGGCGGACGGGUGAGUAACGCGUGAGGAACCUGCCUUUCAGUGGGGGACAACAGUUGGAAACGACUGCUAAUACCGCAUAACGUAUUUGUGUCGCAUGGCAUGGAUACCAAAGAUUUAUCGCUGAGAGACGGCCUCGCGUCUGAUUAGCUAGUUGGUAGGGUAACGGCCUACCAAGGCGACGAUCAGUAGCCGGACUGAGAGGUUGGCCGGCCACAUUGGGACUGAGAUACGGCCCAGACUCCUACGGGAGGCAGCAGUGGGGAAUAUUGGGCAAUGGGCGCAAGCCUGACCCAGCAACGCCGCGUGAAGGAAGAAGGCUUUCGGGUUGUAAACUUCUUUUGACAGGGAAGAGCAGAAGACGGUACCUGUCGAAUAAGCCACGGCUAACUACGUGCCAGCAGCCGCGGUAAUACGUAGGUGGCAAGCGUUGUCCGGAUUUACUGGGUGUAAAGGGCGUGUAGCCGGGCUGACAAGUCAGAUGUGAAAUCCGGGGGCUCAACCCCCGAACUGCAUUUGAAACUGUUGGUCUUGAGUAUCGGAGAGGCAGGCGGAAUUCCUAGUGUAGCGGUGAAAUGCGUAGAUAUUAGGAGGAACACCAGUGGCGAAGGCGGCCUGCUGGACGACAACUGACGGUGAGGCGCGAAAGCGUGGGGUGCAAACAGGAUUAGAUACCCUGGUAGUCCACGCUGUAAACGAUGGAUACUAGGUGUGCGGGGACUGACCCCCUGCGUGCCGCAGCUAACGCAAUAAGUAUCCCACCUGGGGAGUACGAUCGCAAGG